rnacentral:rRNA from 1 species
CCUACGGGUGGCAGCAGUGAGGAAUAUUGGUCAAUGGGCGCGAGCCUGAACCAUCACCGUAGCUUGCAUUCUUCCUUCCCUCCUUUUUUUCCCCUUCUUUUCUCCCUUCAUACAGUGAGGCACGUGUGCCUUUUUGUAUGUACUUUAUGAAUAAGGAUCGGCUAACUCCGUGCCAGCAGCCGCGGUAAUACUGAGGAUCCGAGCGUUAUCCGGAUUUAUUGGGUUUAAAGGGAGCGUAGAUGGGUUGUUAAGUCAGUUGUGAAAGUUUGCGGCUCAACCGUAAAAUUGCAAUUGAUACUGGCAGUCUUGAGUACAGUUGAGGUAGGCGGAAUUCGUGGUGUAGCGGUGAAAUGCUUAGAUAUCACGAAGAACUCCGAUUGCGAAGGCAGCUUACUAAACUGCCACUGACAUUGAUGCUCGAAAGUGUGGGUAUCAAACAGGAUUAGAGAAAAGAGUAGUC